rnacentral:rRNA from 1 species
GAUGAACGCUGGCGGCGUGCCUAAUACAUGCAAGUCGAGCGAACGGACGAGAAGCUUGCUUCUCUGAUGUUAGCGGCGGACGGGUGAGUAACACGUGGAUAACCUACCUAUAAGACUGGGAUAACUUCGGGAAACCGGAGCUAAUACCGGAUGAUAUUUUGAACCGCAUGGUUCAAAAGUGAAAGACGGUCUUGCUGUCACUUAUAGAUGGAUCCGCGCUGCAUUAGCUAGUUGGUAAGGUAACGGCUUACCAAGGCAACGAUGCAUAGCCGACCUGAGAGGGUGAUCGGCCACACUGGAACUGAGACACGGUCCAGACUCCUACGGGAGGCAGCAGUAGGGAAUCUUCCGCAAUGGGCGAAAGCCUGACGGAGCAACGCCGCGUGAGUGAUGAAGGUCCUCGGAUCGUAAAACUCUGUUAUUAGGGAAGAACAUAUGUGUAAGUAACUGUGCACAUCUUGACGGUACCUAAUCAGAAAGCCACGGCUAACUACGUG